rnacentral:rRNA from 1 species
AUGAUGAGUGGUAGGUUGUUUGGUACGGGUGCUGAGUAUGGUGGUUUUGCUCUGUUCUUGGUUGAGCUUCUUGGUCUUCUGGGUGUGUUGAUUGCGCCAUACUACACAGUGUUUCACGACCUGUGUUCCAUGAGGUACUUAGUCACGGUGCACAUUCCUGAGAGCUUAGAUGUCCCUUCUAGGUUCAGUGUUACACGUUACGACUUUGUUUCAGCACUCCAGGGUGCGUCACGGGAUGCCGCUUUACACCUUUUCCACGCCUAUCACCCUCUCCUUGAGUACGUGGGCAGAGGCGAGUGGCCUCAUCAGUUAGAGGAGGCAGGGAGUUCGUCUGCACCUCCGCCCACUGUCGCUCCUGCGCCUUUUGCGUCCACUUCUGCUUUCCCUCCACUUCCACCACAUCCUGCUGUCUUACCUCCCACAUUUUUACCACCACCAGCUACGACUGCCGCUCGUCCACCUCUGUACCCGACGGUCCCACCCACUCGUGCAGACCGCCCAGCUCCUAGAAUCUUCAGGGGUUCCUCCUCUCGAGCAGUGUCACGUCCCUCCACACCGUACGAGCGUCCACCUACACCUCAGCUUGUUCAGGACCUGUUAGAUCGGGUUGACACUCUUCAGAGGCGCUGCUCCGAGCUCGAGCGGGCGAACAGCGAGAUGUCCUCCACGUUGAGGGACUACACCCGUCCGGGUAUGGCCCUCAACCCUUUUCAGAUCGAUAGCUCACCUUCUGCCUCUCCAGGUCGGAUAGGGUACCCGAUUGACCAGGAGUCUCUUGUCGCCGACGAGCCUUCCUCUCAGGUUGCUCAUACUCUGAGUUCCGUUGUAGUUCCACCACCUCCAGAGCACACUCCCCACACUCCACCAGGUUCUCCACUCUCCGCCCCUGCUCCACCUUCUCCUGAUGGCACCCCCGAGUUUUCCGUGAUCAGCGUCACUUACUCAGAGCUUCUAGCACUUGACUCCCGACAGGUGUCUUCUCAGCCCCCGGAGUACCUUCGUGUCGCUUUUGACGUCACUCCCUCUGAGCACACUCCUUCUGAGUAUCCUCUUAGCACCAUCAGCGUGCCCGAGUCUGACGCUGCUGCACCGAGUGUGUCUCUGCCUGCACCGACUUCUGCCCUCGACCCCGACUUGCUCCUCACCGUUUCACCUAGUCCUCUUGUUAGGGAGGAUUGA